UACGAGUGGUGCAAACGUUAUUCGGAAUCACUGGGCUUAAAGGGUGCGUAGGCGGCUACACAAGUCAGGUGUGAAAUCCCUCGGCUCAACCGAGGAACUGCGCUUGAAACUGUGUGGCUCGAGGGAGACAGAGGUGAGCGGAACUGAUGGUGGAGCGGUGAAAUGCGUUGAUAUCAUCAGGAACACCGGUGGCGAAAGCGGCUCACUGGGUCUUUUCUGACGCUGAGGCACGAAAGCUAGGGGAGCAAACGGG
rnacentral:rRNA from 2 species